CCCCGGAUGCUUCCUCUGGGCUCCGCCCCCAACACGUCCACGUCACGCCUGCUUCCUUAGUCCUGCAGAAAUCCUGCGCUUUGGAUUUGUGCCACCUUCUGUAAGUUGAAAGCUUCUGGACCAAGUGCGGCAGUGAGAUGGAGUCAGAAGAGGAGGUAUUGCCAUCAGAGAGUCAGCAAAAGUGGUUGACCAAGCCCAAAGGAGGGUGCUGAGGGGAGUUGAUGACCUGGACUUUUUCAUAGGGGAUGAAGCCAUAGAUAAACCCACGUAUGCCACAAAGUGGCCAAUAAGACAUGGAAUAAUUGAAGACUGAGAUCUAAUGGAGAGGUUCAUGGAACAAGUUAUUUUUAAUUUUCCCUGAGCUGAACCUGAGGGCCAUCACUUUUUGAUGGUGAGUAACUGGGACUGAGAGAAGAGCCCUGUGGAUUCUUGGUUGCUUAGAUUUUAAACCCAGGAUAUUCUUCCCUGGGGAGCUUUUAAUUCCCACUAAAGCUCUUUGUAUGAUUUGGAGUGCUUUUGGGGCAAAUAACAGAAGGCUCAACCAAAAUGUCCGAAACCAAAGAGGGCUUAUUAUCCCACAAAACAGGAUGCCAGUUUCAGGCCACUCAGGACUGGUUACUUGAGCAGCUCAGAGAUGGAGAGUUUUAGAAUUAAGACUCUCAUCCUCAGAAACCUUCCUAGCAGAUUUGCCCUGUCUGUCCGUGCCCAGUGUGGGCCCUAGAGGGGAACAAAAUUACUUUGGUACAUUUUGAUGAGUCAAGAUUCUCUCCUGUUGCUGGUGAGGGGACCACAUCUCAUCACCUGGCCCCAAGAGACAGAACCUCCUCUGAAUACACCAGAAAAUAAAGAAUAUCUUGCAGAAAUUAUGUUCAAAUUAUUUAAUGUACCAGGACUCUACAUUGCAUUUCAGGUGGAAGGUUAGGUAAUUGGAAGCUGCAUCAAACACAUCCCUAUUGCAGAUAGAGAUAUGUAUUUCAUUCAACAGCUGCCAAGGGAGAGGGAGGUGGGAGUCCCUCCUGAGCAACCACUGGAGACCACAAAGGCCAUUAAGGAGAAGUACAGUCACAUUUGCCCCAAUAUAGUCAAGAAGUUUGCCAAGUAUGACGUGGAUCAGCGGAAGUGGAUCAAACAGCAAACAGGGAACAAUGCCAUAAGCCAGAAGAAAUUCAUUAUCGAUGUUGGCUAGGAAAGUUUCCCAGGCCCUGAAAUUUUCUUUCACCCAGAGAUUUACAGGAUUCUUGAAGUAGAGCUGGCCUUCUAGCCUGAGUACCUUAUUUAACAGAUGAUGACACUGAGCCCUACAGAUAGGAAAAGGAGGCAAAACUGGAGGGACCUCGGUCACAUGGGGCAAACUGGUCUUCGACGUUUUUCUAAUUGAGGUAGGGUUGAUGUACAAUAUUAUAUAAGUUCCAGGUUGCAGUUUUUAAAGGUUAUACUCCAUUUAUAGUUAUUAUAAGAUAUCAGCUAUAUUCCCUGUGCUGUAUAACAUAUCCUUGUAGCUUAUUUAUUGUAUAAGUAGUAGUUUGUACCUCUUAAUUCCCUAUCCCAGUCUUGCCCUCCCCUCUUCCCUGUCUCCAUGGAUACCCAUUAGUUUGUUCUCCAUACCUGUGAGUCUGUUUUUUGUUGUUGUUGUUGUUGUUGUUAUGUUCACUAGUUUUCUUUUUCAGAGUUCAUAUAUAAGUGAUAUUCUACAGUAUUUGUUUUUUCUGUCUGACUUAUUUCACUCAGCAUAAUACUCCCCAAGUCCAUCUAUAUUGUUGCAGAUGGCAACAUUUCAUUCUUUUUUAUGGCUCAGUAAUAUUCCAUUUUAUAUAUACCACAACUUCUUUAUCCAGUCAUCUGUUGAUGGACACUUAGUUUGCUUCCAUAUCUUGGCAAUUGUAAAUAAGGUUACCAUGAACAUUGGGGUUCAUAUAUAUUUUUAGGUUAAUGUUUUCAUUUUCGUUGGAUGAAUACCCAGAAGUGGAAUUGCUAGAUCAUAUAUUAGUUCUAUUUUUAGUUUUUUGAGAAGCCACCAUCCUGUUUUCCAUUGUGGUUGUAAUAGUUUGCAUUUCUAUUGUUCCUUCUUUUCCUAGUUUGUGUGUAUAAAUUAUACUGACUAAACCCAGAGUGAACUAGUUGCUCACAGUGUCUCUCAAUGUGACUACACAUUGAAUCAAGUGGGAAGCUUUUCAAAUCAGGAUGCCUGGGCCAAUUAUAUCAGAAUCUCUGGGUGGGAGUUUGUGAUUUUGGGGGACUCAGCUCCUGAGGAGACUGAUGCGCAUGGACAGCCAGGGCUGAAAACUGGCUUCAAGCAGCACAUGCUGCCUGCAAUGACUUGACCUCCUGGAUAAAUCACAGGCCUCCAGGACUCAGCUCUCACACACUAGUCUCUGUAUAAACUAUACACCAACAGUGUAUAUGGGUUCAAUUUUCUCCACAUUGUUGCUGAAUGUUUGUGGUUUUGUGGUCUUUUUGAUGAUAGCCAUCCUGGUAGACACGAGGUAAUAUCUCACUGUGGUUUUAAUUUGCAUUUCUCUGAUGAUUAACAACACUGAAUGUGUUUUCACUGCCUGUUUUCUUGGCUCAGUGGCAGGAACUAUAGGUCGAUUUUCUUUUGAUGAAGCAAGUAGAAGGAGGCUUGCUUUAGGUCCUGCUGACAACACCUGAGAUCUUCUUGGUCACUGAGUGAACACCUUACUCAGGCUCAUUGACAAGAAAAAGGUGGUGGAGAAUAUAAAAUGUGGCUUUGAAAAUUCAGACAUUUUAGAAAACUAAAACUUUUUUUUAAGAAGUAGUCAUAAUCUAAUUUUUAUUUCAGUCUGUUCUGUAGAUAAGGAUGUUCACAUGCUGCCUUUUUUUAAUUUAUUUUUUGUUCAGUUUCCAAGUGUGUUGGAGGUUGGGUCUGGGAAUGGUUCUUCUUUUUCAUUUUAUUAUAGCUCUCUAUCUUUAUGGGUUAAAGAUUGUCAGUUAUCUGUUGUAGACUUGAAGGGCUUUUAUUAAGUGGAAGAUUUCCUGUGUUGGCUGCGCACAUUUCCAUGAUAUUGCUGUGAGAUCUGUUUUUGGUAUGGUGUGGUGCCAUGUCAUUCUUGUGAGUGCAUUGCCUGUUAUUUCUAUGAUUGUCAAUGUGGUUUUUGUUGUGGUGAACACAAUGUACUUUUGUUGUUUAACAGAGCCUCAUUUUGAUUAGGUGUUUAUCACAGAUUGGAGAGUGGCUAGGGUUUCUCCUUUUAUUGGAAUUGAGACUUCCAAACCAUUUCUGGGGUGCAGGCUGUGGUAUGUGGUGUUGGAAUGUUUCCAAUACACACUCAUAACAGUUCCUUUGCCCUUUCUAUUGCCAUGGGAAUGUCCAAAUUCUACACAGAAACACCAGUGGAAACAAAUCUAAAGAUGUCAUGCACUAGGGCCUCCUGUAAUGAUCCUUCAGUCCCCCAGCUGGGUCCUCAGUGCAGUAUCAGGUCACUGCCAUUCCUAUUGUCACAUUUUCAUGUAGCAGACAAGGCUGAUGGAAAGGCUUCAACUUCCCCUUCUGUGCACCCAGAUCUCUGCUCUUGGCUCUCUCUUCCUUGUGGCAUGGGACCACCAAGACAACCACAGAGCAUAUCCACACCCUCUGCCUUGGACCCAAUAAAAAUCACAGUUGUGCCAAUGAAAUAUGCAGGUUCUUUGGCCAUGGAUUCUGAUUUCAACCCGAACUUCCCCUGGGUCUCUCAGACCAAAAUUAUGAUGAUUCUGAUAGAACCGUGCUUCUCUUCUAUUGCAAAAAUGCCAAAUUGGGCCCUGGACCUGCAGAAAUAGUGAAUAUGUCCAUGAGAUAACUAGAUAAUCCACACCAUGUGCAUCAGCAAUGUUGCUUUUUGAAUUCAGGUCCCAGGCAGUUCUGUUCCAUAGACACUACCAAUCACAGAAAACAACACACUCCAACCCCAUGAGACUCAGUCUGUGCCAUCAGCCUCAGCCCUCUCCCUCAGCUUCAGCAGACAUUCCUAGCUCAGCAUCAACAGCUCAAGUCAAGGUCUGGGGAUUCAUUACAGGGAUAUUUUGUGCUGGUUUCUUUCAGCUCUGUCAGCCAGGCAUCUGCUGUGCACUCCUCUCACCCUCAUUGGAUCUCCUUCAAUCCCAACUGAUCUCUCUGUGUGUGUCCCAGUAAAAGAGUGUUUUCCCCUUUUUGGCUCCCUCACCAAAAGUCAGGUCCUGCACUGAUUUCCUUUUCUACUUUUCUUUUUCCUCCUUCCCAAUUUUGUGAGGACCUUUUCUGUCUCUUGAAGUAAGAGACAGAAAAGGUGAAAUUGAUGUUCAACCAAUGUCCAGCAGGUGUCCUGAGCCAAGGGGUGAGUGUACAUGGAUGAGAGUGAGCUAAGAAUGCACUUGUAAUCAAGAAAAUAUAUCAAACACAAGAAUGUUAUAUGGGGAUUAAGUUUUAUAGGAGAAGAGGAAUGAAAUGAGUUCUGCAAGGGAAACAACUAUGUAAAAUUCCUGGCUUUUCUAGAACAGUUUGUUUAUAAUGUGUGU